GAUGAACGCUGGCGGCGUGCCUAAUACAUGCAAGUCGAGCGAACGGACGAGAAGCUUGCUUCUCUGAUGUUAGCGGCGGACGGGUGAGUAACACGUGGAUAACCUACCUAUAAGACUGGGAUAACUUCGGGAAACCGGAGCUAAUACCGGAUGAUAUUUUGAACCGCAUGGUUCAAAAGUGAAAGACGGUCUUGCUGUCACUUAUAGAUGGAUCCGCGCUGCAUUAGCUAGUUGGUAAGGUAACGGCUUACCAAGGCAACGAUGCAUAGCCGACCUGAGAGGGUGAUCGGCCAAAAUGGAACUGAGACACGGUCCAGACUCCUACGGGAGGCAGCAGUAGGGAAUCUUCCGCAAUGGCGAAAGCCUGACGGAGCAACGCCGCGUGAGUGAUGAAGGUCUUCGGAUCGUAAAACUCUGUUAUUAGGGAAGAACAUAUGUGUAAGUAACUGUGCACAUCUUGACGGUACCUAAUCAGAAAGCCACGGCUAACUACGUG
rnacentral:rRNA from 1 species